rnacentral:lncRNA from 1 species
GAUAGAGAGAGAGAGAGAGAGAGAGAGAGAGAGAGAGAGUCCGGCUACUAUACUAUCGAUAGUACCAAGCCCUUGGUACUAUUGAGUUUUCUACCGUUAGAUCUACCCUUUGAUCAUUUCCACCCGUUAGAUUAUACUAUUAAACCAACCACCAACUUAACCCUAGGGGACCACUAUCAAUUUAACCGGUGACCACUAUCAUCCUAACCGCACAUUCUUUCAUCCAACGACCAAAAACUCGAUAGUACCAAAGGCUUGGUACUAUUGAUAGUAUAGUAGCAUAAUUCUAUAUAUAUAUAUAUAUAUAUA